GAAAUUCACCGCCAAUGACACACAUAAUGGAAACAAAUGACUCCACUUAUCCUUUUUUGUGCAUCUCUCAGAAGAAAUCUCUCUUCCUACUAGGAGAACAACACAUAAUCCUUUUAUUGAAAGCCACCAUGAAUAACUGUUAGGACGGUGACUAAUGUUUAAGAUGUCAGCUGCUACUUCAGCCACCAUGUCUUCAUUCCAUCAUUGUAGACUCUAACUCUGGGAACUGUAAGCCCAAAUAAAUUCUGUCUUCUAUA